rnacentral:lncRNA from 1 species
UAUAACUUUAGUUUAAGUUAAUAGAAAUCUAUGAAAUUUUGACACAAGGUUUAUGACCACAAAAGAACGGUUGGGAUUGAUUUUGGGAGUUUAGGUUUCAACAGUUUAGGAAUUAGGGGCCAAAAAAGGGCCCAAAUAAGCAUUAUUCUUGGUUUUCGCACAAUAACUUUAGUUUAAGUAAAUAAAAAUCAAUGAAAUUUAAACACAAUGUUAAUGACUACAAAAGGAAGGUUGGUAUUGAUUUUGGGAGUUUAGGUCCCAACAGUUUAGGAAUUAGGGGCCAAAAAGGGACCCAAAUAAGCAUUUUUCUUGGUUUUCGCACCAUAACGUUAGUAUAAGUAAAUAGAAAUCUAUGAAAUUUAAACACAAGGUUUAUGACCAUAAAAGGAGG